AUGCUGAUGAAGAAGGUGGCCGUGGUUGCUGCACUGCUGCUGUUCCUCCCGUUCGUCGUCAAGGCUAAGGAUGGCAAUGUGGCCGGAUGGAAGCCGAACGAGAGACCGGAAGCUCUGGGAUCGGGCCUGACAGCGCCGUCGUUCGUCUUCAACGUGACCGAGGCAAAUUACGUGCCGCUCAGACUGAACGUGGCUGCUUCAGGCAAAGGUUACACAGCCUUCAUGAACGAGUUGCACCAGAGGCUGGUCGACACGAGGAGGAACCAGUGGACCAUCAGGCCUCGUUUGGUUUUUUUAGGGGGAAAAGAUAACUUUAUUAAUUAA
rnacentral:rRNA from 1 species